GUCCCGAUAUUCCGCCGGUUGCAGGAACGCGGCGCUCGGUGCGGGUUUGUGUCACAGGCUCAGUGCAGGGCUCGCCGCUGACAUCGCAGAGGGAGCGGCUGCGGCAGGAAGCGUGUGCGCGACCAGGCACACAGAAGCUGUGGUCACCUGACAACGAUAAACACAGGAAUGUUUGGGACAAGCCACCUGCAGAGCACUGAUUCUGUCACAGCAUGUUGCCCAGAGCAGCACCCACACCACGAAGUGUGGAGCUGUUAAGAUGGGCUGUACUCAGUUGAGUGUCACCUCCCCUGCUCCCAAAAAGCUGGGACUCAAGACAACUCAGUGAUGAACUGCAGCACAAAGAACUUGAACCGAACCAAGCUCACAAAGCAGCAGGUGGAACAACACCGCAGAAAAGUAAAUAAAUGCUGAGGCUUAUCAGGAACUGCUCGAAGCCCAGCAUUCACAAACAAUUCAUUACCCCAGGGGAGAGGGCCACGACGGGCAGGUUUCCACUGCAUUUAGGACACUUUUCUCUAAGAGUGGCGGAGGCCGGGAAGAGGCGGGCGAGCGAUUUAGGAACAAAAAAUUCCCGCGGCUCCGUUUGUUGUCGGAUGGGAAAGAGCCGGGACGGAGCCGGCCCGGGGCUGUCCCCU